rnacentral:rRNA from 1 species
CGCCUCUUGUAUAGAAGAGUAAAAGAGGUCGGGCCUGCCCGGUGACCUACGUGGUUAAACGGCGGCGGCUCAGACCCGUCCGAAGGUAGCGCAAUAAAUUGCCCCUUAAUUGGGGGAGGGAAUGAAUGGUUUGACGUGGAAGAAGCUGUGUCUGGAGUAGCGGGUGAAAUUUCUGUUUAAGUGAAAAAGCUUAAGUUUUUGUAAAAGAAGAGAAGACCCCAUCGAGCUUAAUAAGCUUAUUGAGUUUUGGCGAAAGUUUAAUUCUAUAGCCAAGUUUAGCAGAGCAAAGUUUUAUUGGGGCAAUAGGAAGCUAAGAAGAACGCUUCCCUUUAGUAUGGAGAUCCAUCAAAGGUUAAAUGAAUUUUAAGGGUAAAUUACAAGCACACCCCUAAAAGUAGUAUGGCGGAUGAUAAUGAGCAAAAGUUACCGUGGGGAUAACAGCGUGGUCCUCCUUAAGAGGUCUUAUUGAGGGGAGGGUUCGCGACAUCGAUGUUGGAUUAAGGAAACUUUAUGCUGCAGAAGGUAUAAAAGUAGGUCUGUUCGCCCUUUAAACCCUUACA